UUCAAAAGUUAACUCAACAGCCUCUUCCAUGGGCACUAUAUAAAUGAUCAUGUCAUGCAUUUGUAAGCACCCUCCAUCUAUGCAGUAAUGAAACAUCUAACAAUUUACACCAAUCAGAAGAAAUUCCUAACUUCUUUGCUAGUCGGAAGAAACAACAGCAAACACUUGAUGCUUCAAUCUGUCAGCAAGCUGCAGCAGCUACUUCAAAUAGUAUCCACCCAAUUCACAAGGAAAUUCACAGCCAGCUGGAGAGGGUAUCAGUGACCGUUUUAGGGGAAAUGUGCUCUGUGGGAUAGAGAGAAAAGAUACUUUGCACAUAGAAAUGUGCCAAGGCUGGUCAACACAGAAGAAAUGACUCAAGGUUCCAUAAUAGAGAAAAAGUGAUCUUUUAAAAACAAUAAAA